rnacentral:rRNA from 1 species
UACCAGCACCCCGAGUGGUCGGGACGUUUAUUGGGCCUAAAGCAUCCGUAGCCGGUUCUACAAGUCUUCCGUUAAAUCCACCUGCUUAACAGAUGGGCUGCGGAAGAUACUAUAGAGCUAGGAGGCGGGAGAGGCAAGCGGUACUCGAUGGGUAGGGGUAAAAUCCGUUGAUCCAUUGAAGACCACCAGUGGCGAAGGCGGCUUGCCAGAACGCGCCAGACGGUGAGGGAUGAAAGCUGGGGGAGCAAACCGG